GGAAUCUUGCGCAAUGGGCGAAAGCCUGACGCAGCAACGCCGCGUGCGGGAUGAAGGCUUUCGGGCUGUAAACCGCUUUCAGCAGGAACGAAACUGACGGUACCUGCAGAAGAAGGAGCGGCCAACUACGUGCCAGCAGCCGCGGUGACACGUAGGCUCCAAGCGUUGUCCGGAUUUAUUGGGCGUAAAGAGCUCGUAGGCGGUUGAGUAAGUCGGGUGUGAAAACUCUGGGCUUAACCCGGAGACGCCACUCGAUACUGCUCUGACUUGAGUUCAGGAGGGGAGUGGGGAAUUCCUAGUGUAGCGGUGAAAUGCGCAGAUAUUAGGAGGAACACCGGUGGCGAAGGCGCCACUCUGGACUGAAACUGACGCUGAGGAGCGAAAGCAUGGGUAGCAAACAGGAUUAGAUACCCUGGUAGUCCAUGCCGUAAACGGUGGGCACUAGGUGUGGGUUCCAACUAACGGGAUCCGCGCCGUCGCUAACGCAUUAAGUGCCCCGCCUGGGGAGUACGGUCGCAAGACUAAAACUCAAAGGAAUUGACGG
rnacentral:rRNA from 1 species